UGACGCAGCACGCCGCGUGAGUGAUGAAGGCCUUCGGAUCGUAAAGCUCUGUCACGUGGGAAGAAAUGCGUGUUGGCUAAUAUCCUGUACGCUUGACGGUACCUCCAAAGGAAGCACCGGCUAACUCCGUGCCAGCAGCCGCGGUAAUAC
rnacentral:rRNA from 1 species